rnacentral:tRNA from 1 species
AUCCCCUUAGCUCAGUGGAGUAGAGCGCGAUCCUCCGAAGGUCGAGGCCGCCCGUUCGAGUCGGGCAGGGGAAACCA